UAACGUGGGCUAUGGCUACGUUGGAUGACAAUAUUUUGUGGUUAAAUAAGAAAUUUUGUUGCUUCAAAUUUUAUUUUUUUUUUAAAGUUGUCUGAAUGUGAUAUUAAAUAUUAGGACAUGCCAAUAAACUAGGUGGAAAUUCUUUAUGUGAAUGCUCGGUUGUUCGAGAUUAAAUUAUUUUGAGAUUAUUUGAAAUUGAAUUGGUUUGAAAUUAUCUGAAAUUUUUUUGCUACAGGGAUAGGACAAGGUUCAUAAGCU
rnacentral:lncRNA from 1 species